UCGUUGAGCAUUUACUACAUGCUACAGAUUGCAGACAGCGUCUUAUCCCUGAACUCUCUGUGCUGACCCUGUAAACGAAGCAUGACAAGAGCUCCUCACAUGAACCAAGUGCUAUUAUCUCCAUUUUGCAGACGAGGAAACUUUUUUCUUGCGUUUUCUUACAGAUCAGAAGUGGGGCUGGCAGUUCUGGGGCCCUCUGGGCAGCAUCUCUGUGGGGGUGAGUCUUCCGACCGCCUUGCUAGAGUCCCAUGGCUAUUCUAAAUCUGCAGUGUGCAAGGGAAAAAGAAGGAAGAAGAGAAGGAAAAGGAGGAAGAGGAGAACAAGAAAGCAUCCAGAGAGAAAGGGAUGAAGGAGGUGGUGGAUGUGGUGGAGUCCGGAGCCAUCCAACUGCCUCUUGCCUGGAGAGUAGGACACAGGACCACCGGGAAAGAGCCACAGGAGGAGGACUCAUGUGUGCUCCCUUCCACGUCUGCAGCUCAUGGUGCUUCUUUUAAAGCUGUCAGCGAGAUCUGUCCUGGUUUUCCUUCACGAAGCUGCCCGGUGCUGGUCUCCAUCUGUAACGCCUUUAACAGAAGUUCAAGGUCUCCCCAGCUUCAAGCUCAAAGCCCCCACCUUCUUCUUGAGCUUUGGUGUUUGUCUCCCUUGGCUUAUGAGGCCACCAAAAUCUCAGCUCAGUUUGGCAGAUGUUUACUGCGCAUUCACAGGUGUCCUCAGAAUAACAAUGGCUCUGAGUAGCGGUUAUCUUUUUCUCCUACCUUUUGCCUAGUAAUUCCUUGCCACUUUGAUAACUCUAGUUUUAAUACUAUUUAAACUUUGUCCGGGCAUUUUAGUUGACUGUGGGAACUUUGGUCCAGAUGUCCUGGUCUGACACCAAAAGCGGGAGUCCUUCUUCUCUGACCUCUUUCCUGAGUCAAUUCCUCCUUCAGAUCUCCAUGCAGGUAUCAUUUUUCAGAGAAGCCUUUCACAGACCCCGUGGGAAAUAGUCAUCCCCAUCCCUGAACUCUCUGCUUGAUUUUUCUUCAUAGAACAUAUUAUCACCUGACAUUGGUCACAUAUGUAUCUGCUUACUUGUUUACUGCCUCUCUCUGACUGGAAUUUAUUUACUCAUUCAUUCAACAAAUAUUUAUUGCGUACAUUCUUUGUGGCAGGCAUUACGCUAGGUGUUGAAGCAUACGCUAGAGAACAAGGCAGACCAGAUUCCAGCCCACGGGGAGCUUACAUUCUCAGGAGAAAACAGACCAUGAACGGAAAAAUCAAAGCAAUAUAAAUUCCCCUGAGGAUAAAUGUAAAUUCCCCUGCUUUCUCUAACACUUCAGGGCAUAGAACAGUGCUUUAUGUUAACUGAAUAUGUGCUACAUUAAAAAAAAAAAAAAUCCUUGUCCCAAAGUUAUUUUUAAGUAUUAUUUAAUCCCUGGUGUUUCAAUUGUAUUGUUGGUUGGCUGCUUUUUUCCUCAUAAAUAUGUAGCAUUUGAAGCGCAUAAAGGGUUAAAUAGACUUGUGUGUCAGCCUGGAAAUAUAAUCACCAUUUAUUAUUUCACUCUUACAGGGAAAUAUGUUCUGAGUUUCAAAUAAUUAACUUCCAAGUGAACUUUUGGAAACUGUCAGCUGGGCUCAUAUAUAUUUGGGUGAGAUUUGCCAAUGUCUUUGCACUCUUUUAUAGAAACAGGCUACAUGCCAGACAGAUCAGGCCAAACAGCCUGGGUGAUCAGUGGAAUAACAGAUGUCUCAGAAAGAGCACCCCCACAUCCAGAAGGCUCUGUUCUGCUCUAAGCUCAUGGUCCGUCUCAUUCUUCGAAUCUUAGGUCUCUGGUGACACACCUUUCCCUGUAGGAGACAGAGGCUCUAUGAUCAAACUAACAUUGUUUUUUACACCAGAGAGGCCAAGCCAAAUUCUUUAGAGUCUUCUACCUGGGCAACAGCACGCUUGAAAGUGGCAGCCAGCCCUGGCAGCAAGCCUGGCUGCCCUGGGACACUGAGAGAGUGAGAGAGAGAUUGGGGUCAGACAAUCUAGCUCAGAGGAAUCGCUCCAACAUGAGUGCCAUGGCAUUCAGCCUGAGCUCAGAAUCUUUGCCUGCCCACAGGCGCUGGGUUAUUUCCAUUCUUUACCAAAGGGACGGAAUGCAGAGAGAGAAAAGCACAGGCGGUGAGCCAGAUCUGAGUGUAAAAGGCCCAUCUAAGGCUGUUGUUGGGUUAAAAAAACAAUUAGGAUUUGCUGAGACUUUUGGAAAGGAGGAAUGGAGAGCAAUGAAAUGCUCAAGGCUUGGGGUGAGAAGGAUGCGGUGGGCGCUCUUGAAAUGAUCAGGAUUAGGUUUAGAACAUGGGAUUUUCUGAGGGCUCAAAGGGUAAAGAACCCACCUGCAAUGCUGGAGACACAGGAGAAACAGGUUCGAUCCCUGUUUGGGAAGAUCCCCUGAAGAAGGAGAUGGCAACAUUCUUGCCUGAAAAACUCCAUAGACAGAGAAGCUUGGGAGUCUACAGUCUAAAGGGUCACAAAAAGUCAGACAUGACUGAGCAACUAAGCACACACAUGCAGGUUUUAGAAUAGAAUAAUGGUAGAAAUGACAAGCUCUUCUAAUUUUUUUGAGCUAGGUGUCAUGCUAUUGUAGUGGAGAGUCCUCCCAACCAAAAUCAGAAAUGGACUUAGAGGAGAUGGCAUCAUGAAUUUGUGAAAAUUCAUCAUAAAAUUUUGAGCUGGAAGAGCCCUUAAAACUCAUCUAGUCCAGUUUCACAGCAAUACUUGGAGAUGGAAUUGCCUGGUUGAGGCUGGAGAAUCUGUG
rnacentral:lncRNA from 1 species